UUGCAGUGCUGAAGUACAAGAUUUCCUACAAUGAAGGGGAUACAGUGGACUUCUAUCAGUGAAAAGUGCAUAGAUGCAGGAGAAGGAGACCCUUGGGGUCUGAUGACUGGAGCAAAGGCACUCUUCUGUUUGACAGCAGGAAAGACGGAAGAGGAGAAUGGGAGGAUGGAAGAAGUGCUGGAGGAGCCAACUGUUGGACUUGAAGACAUUACUGCAAGAGAAGAAAAAGUUAUUCCUCAUCAGAGAUACAAUUAGACACGUUUGGUAUUGCCUUAAAUGUCUGUCCUGUUGGCUUGGCUGCUUGAGGUAUGUCUAAAGUAGAGAGGUAGGUAGUUAUAUUGAAUAGCUAGUUCAAAAGAAGAUAUGUCUAAUUAGCCUAAACUGUAAGAAGAACUAACCAAUAUUUCUUGUGUUUUCAAAGGAAUCCCCAGGUCUCAUUAAGUAGUAGUUAGAAAUAAGAAUAACAGUAUGCUGCAGACUUGGUCCUUUCCUUAAUGAAGUCUUACAGAGGGAAAUCAAGGGGAUCCUGUUGGAGAGCCGUUAAUGAAACCAGGGGAGCCUGGAACGCCCAGGUUGGACAUGGGGACGUUGCUGUAGCCGUUCAUGCUAUUGCUGGAAGUGCUAUAAUUGGACUGUUGAGGUGUGGAACUGGAUGAGUAACCGCGGGGUGAGAUGCUGCUUGUAUUACGAAUGUAACCUAAAAAUAAAACACAUUUCAUCGAAUGCCAAGGAAUGAAUUUAGCUUAAAACUUUCUUCUGUAUAAAUAAAAAAAAAUAA
rnacentral:lncRNA from 1 species